rnacentral:rRNA from 1 species
GAUGAACGCUGGCGGCGUGCUUAACACAUGCAAGUCGAGCGGACGGACCAUAAUCUCGCUGUUCUGAUGUUAGCGGCGGGCGGGUGAGUAACGCGUGGAUAACCCACUUCUUUGACUUGGAUCUCUGCGGGAGACCGGAGCAAAGACUAGAUAAUAGUUUGAGCCGCAUGGGUCGAAAGUGAAAGUCGGGCUUGCUGUCACUUAUAGACGUAUCCGCGCUGCGUUGGAUAGUUGGGAAGUUAACGGCUUACCAAGGCAACGAGGCAUAGACGGCGUGAGAGGGUGGCCGGCCACAGUGGGACGGAGACAACGUUGAGACUGCUACGGGAGGCAGCAGUCGGGAAUCGUCAGCAGUGGGGGAAAGCCUGACAGAGGAACACGGCGUGUGUGGUGACGGUCGUCGGGUCGUGAAGGUCUGUUAGUAGGGAAGACCAUAUGUGUAUGAAGCUGUGCACGUGUUGACGGUACUUAAACAAGAAGCAACGGCUAACUACGUG